rnacentral:lncRNA from 1 species
AUUCUCCUUCUCUCCCAGCCACACACACACACACACACACACACACACACACACACACACACACCCUUAUUUAUUUUUCUCUUUGGCUAGACCUUUGUUUACUGUUUAAGAUACAGUAAACUCUGAUACAGACUAGCGAACCUCAUGUUAGCACCAACUAAGAUUUAACACAACUGGCAAUUGGCUAUCUCCUUCCCUUCAUCCCAGCCCUUGUCCUUGUUUUAUUAGCUCUACAACAAUGAGAUCCCACAUACAUGAUUGAAUUUGUUAGACUCCUACAUACAGCUUUAUAAUAGAGUUUGGCUGUAAUUAAUUAGCUUUGCUUGAUUAUGACUCAUUUCCCUUUUCUUCUCCUUUCCUCCCAGGCAUAAAAAGCCAAAAUGGUGAGUUCUGAUUUGCUUUUCUGUGUCUGAGGAGAUUCCUGUGAUGGCAGGAAGAGCUUUUUACUAUGGAUGGAUUUUUCCAUCUCCUCCCUGGGCUGCCAAAAUGCUAGCUUAGAUCCAUUUUCCCCAAAUUGGGGGCUGUUAAUGAUAGUUUUCAGGAUUUUGGCCACCUAACUUUCCCACCUCCAAUGCAAUCCCUUUUUACCUAGGAAUCUUCUAUUCAUGGG